GACGAACGCUGGCGGCGUGGAUUAGGCAUGCAAGUCGGACGGUAGGGCUUUAUCGUAAGAUAGAGUUUGAGAGUGGCGAACGGGUGAGUAACACGUAGGAAUCUACCCUUAAGACGGGGACAACCCAGGGAAACUUGGGCUAAUACCGGAUGAGAGUGCGAGAGAUUGCAUUUAAAAGGAUGGCGAAAGUUGUCGCUUAGGGAUGAGCCUGCGGUCUAUUAGUUAGUUGGUGAGGUUAAGAGCUCACCAAGGCGAUGAUAGAUAGGCGGCCUUAACGGGUGGUCGCCCACACUGGGAUUGAGAUACGGCCCAGACUCCUACGGGAGGCAGCAGUCGAGAAUAGUCUACAAUGGCCGGAAGGCUGAUAGUGCGACGCCGCGUGAACGAGGGAGCCCUUCGGGGUGUAAAGUUCUUUUCUAUUACGAGCAGUUGCUAUAUAUAUGGAUAGUAUAUAUAGAGGGAUAGUAGUAUAGGAAUAAGGCAACGGCUAACUCCGUGCCAGCAGACCG
rnacentral:rRNA from 1 species